GCCAAGCAGCCGCGGUAAUUCCAGCUCUAAUAGCGUAUAUUAAAGUUGUUGCGGUUAAAAAGCUCGUAGUUGGAUCUCGGGAGGGUAUGCGCGGUCCGGAGAAAUCCGCGAACUUUUGCAGACCCCCCCUCCGUCUGGAGGCGGUACGCAGUUCCACUUAAUUGUGGAGUGCGUCUGAAUCCAGGACCUUUACUUUGAACAAAUUAGAGUGUUUAAAGCAGGCGUUUUGCCCGAAUACAUUAGCAUGGAAUGACAAUAUAGGACUUUGGUUCUCUUUUGUUGGUUUUAAGGACUAAAGUAAUGAUUAAUAGGGACGGUUGGGGGCAUUCGUAUUACGCUGUCAGAGGUGAAAUUCUUAGAUUUGCGUAAGACGAACUUCUGCGAAAGCAUUUGCCAAGGAUGUUUUCAUUGAUCAAGAACGAAAGUUAGGGGAUCGAAGACGAUCAGAUACCGUCGUAGUCUUAACCAUAAACUAUGCCGACCAGGGAUUGGAAGACGUUAUUUUCAUGACUCCUUCAGCACCUCGCGAGAAAUCGGAGUGUUUGGGUUCCGGGGGGAGUAUGGUCGCAAGGCUGAAACUUAAAGGAAUUGACGGAAGGGCACCACCAGGAGUGGAGCCUGCGGCUUAAUUUGACUCAACACGGGGAAACUUACCAGGUCCAGACAUAGUGAGGAUUGACAGAUUGACAGCUCUUUCUUGAUUCUAUGGGUGGUGGUGCAUGGCCGUUCUUAGUUGGUGGAGUGAUUUGUCUGCUUAAUUGCGAUAACGAACGAGACCUUAACCUGCUAAAUAGUAAUGCGCACCUUCAGUGUGGGUAGACUACUUCUUAGAGGGACUCUCACGUGCUUUAACCGAGGGAAGUUUGAGGCGAUAACAGGUC
rnacentral:rRNA from 1 species